UGGGGAAUUUUGGACAAUGGGCGAAAGCCUGAUCCAGCAAUGCCGCGUGUGUGAAGAAGGCCUUCGGGUUGUAAAGCACUUUUGUCCGGAAAGAAAUCCUUGGCUCUAAUACAGUCGGGGGAUGACGGUACCGGAAGAAUAAGCACCGGCUAACUACGUGCCAACAGCCGCGGUAAUACGUAGGGUGCAAGCGUUAAUCGGAAUUACUGGGCGUAAAGCGUGCGCAGGCGGUUUGCUAAGACCGAUGUGAAAUCCCCGGGCUCAACCUGGGAACUGCAUUGGUGACUGGCAGGCUAGAGUAUGGCAGAGGGGGGUAGAAUUCCACGUGUAGCAGUGAAAUGCGUAGAGAUGUGGAGGAAUACCGAUGGCGAAGGCAGCCCCCUGGGCCAAUACUGACGCUCAUGCACGAAAGCGUGGGGAGCAAACAGGAUUAGAUACCCUGGUAGUCCACGCCCUAAACGAUGUCAACUAGUUGUUGGGGAUUCAUUUCCUUAGUAACGUAGCUAACGCGUGAAGUUGACCGCCUGGGGAGUACGGUCGCAAGAUUAAAACUUAAAGGAAUUGAC
rnacentral:rRNA from 1 species